UAUGCCAUUAUAUAUCCUUUGCAUGGUAAGACAACGAUAUUGUUAGGGUACGAGUAUGCUAGUUGACUAUGUGGAAUCCUUGUUAUACUUGUGCGGUAUAGGACACUUGGUGUCAUGGUAUGCUAGACUGAUAAAGUCUUGUCUUAGGAUUAUACGAUACUGCUAGGUAUCAUGAUUUGUUAGGGUAACGAUAGCUUUGAUUGUUUUUUGAAUGUUUACCUUAAGGAUUGUAUUUAGUAAAUUUGGAUAGCCUGAGAACUCGUGGUCUAAUGCCCGACUACAUAGUUCUUCUUUGAUUUGUUGCUUUUGGGUGGAUCAUUUGUUCCAUUGUCCAUCUAGUUCCCACUAUGUAUCGCUUUGGAAUUGAAUGGAAGACCAACAUUUGGCCCCAAGAAUUACAUCUAAAGACUAGGGUGUAGCUCCUGGAAAUGGAAAGUGGGAUGGGCCUAUUUACUCCUUGGGUGGGGCCCAUUAUGUAUGGUUAGGCGGGGCCUGUUAUUUAUGGUGGGCGUGGCCGGUUAUGUAUGGUUUAGCAGGUCCUGUUAUGUAUGUUUGCGUGGGGCCUAUUAUGUGAGUUGGUUGGGCCUGUUUCAUAUGAUAUAUGUAUGUGGAUAUGAGUUUUUGCUGUUCGCGCUAAAUUCGAGGAUUGUAUGUGAAUAUAUUGUAUGUAUGGUGGAAUAUGUGGUAUAUUGGCGAACUCACUAAGCUUUAUGCCCAUAGUCGUAGAUUAAAUGUUUUGCAGGUUGUUCGUGAAAAGAGCUCGGCGGGAUUGUGUCACACCCCGGCCGUCGGCGGAAACACCGGGUAGUGUAACGUCAUUUUUCGUAUCACAGUUAUAUAACAUACAUUGAACAAUACUUAAAGAAAAUACAUAACUUUAUUGAUGAUUGAAAGUUACAUUAUUGUAUUCCUAGUAUUUUUUACAUAAUAUCUGACUAUGACAUACUUCUUAAUGAACAGAAAGAUACUAGUAAAACUUCUCCUGUUCGAAUACAUACCAGCUUUUCAAGUUCCUGAAAACACAUCCAUUUUAAAAUACGUCAACAUAAAGUUGGUGAGUCCACAGGUUUUGACUCCAUAAAAUAAUACAUUUUUACACAUUCAAAAGUAUAGUUUUGAAAGUAUCAUUACGGUCUGAGUGGAGCAAUCGGCUGAUAGUGGGGAUAUCACUUUCUAUGACCAGAGUUGUGCUAUUUCCGUUUCCUGUGAGAAGCAGAAGAUAAAUUGAGCUUCAUAUUUCUAAGAUUGGAGGUAAACCCUGUGGGGUAGCAUUGGUUGCGAUCUUCCACCAAGAGUAUAUGGGCAGUAUGUCUACUAUUGGGUAAUAUGAUAGUAUGAAAGGAUCAUCAGUGGGGACUGAGAUGGUCAAGGACAAUGAUAUACCCUAUUUGAGUGUAGUAAGGCAUAUGUUAGCACCAGUGUCAGGUGAUUAAGAGGAGAAUUUUGGGGCGGUGGCUCUCAUUGUCUCUGAUGGAUAUCGAGUGUGGGGGGUGAGGUCUCUGCUCUCAUGAUAAUUCACAUGAUGGGAGGUUGGUUGGGGAGUCGAAGAUGAGGAGUGUGAUACUACAUUAUCUUCAGUCUGAGAGUCAUGGCUACUACAGGACAGUUGAGAUGUCUGGUAGUAUGUCAGUGUAAGAUUUUAAAUAACACAUUGGGAAGUUUUCGAGGAUUUUUUCAGAGAUUUGGGAUGUAUGGAGUUGCUUUGUCUCUACCGGGAAGAUCAUCGAGUGCUUUGUGGUACUUUCCAAAAGUAAGUGUAAUGUACCUAGUGAAAAAGUCUGUAGAAUAGAUUGUUAUUGUGCCAAAUGGUGAUGGUUUGAGCCCUGAGUGGGGGAGAACCGGGUAUUUUAUUGAGAGUAUCAGAUAUUUGUUCAAGAGAGGUUAGAGGACUGAAUAUAGUGACCUUCAGUACGGAUACAUGGGACCAGGGUUAUUGGUGGUCGAGGCGAGGUGUCGAGCGAGACAAUGCAUGUUGUAUGUGUUCAGGAAAGGAUGAGUGUCUCCACUGCAGGUGGCCGUUGGUCGAAGGCCUUGUGGUGGUUAGGAAUUAUUCGAGGUUGUAAUGGUAAAUUCAAGGUGGUUAACUCGUAAGGAUAGUUUCGGCGGUUGAGAAUUUCUGGUUCAAUGUAUGGGUUGUUAUAUGCGCUUUGGGAAGGGUAGAAGUUUAUUGGGAAACCAACUUCAAACUCGGUAUGUGUAGUCUUAAUUGGGUUUUGAGCAAUAGAGGAGGGAGUUUCGGAUUAGCAUCAACAUGUUCUGAGUCAUUGACGAUUCGUCCGUGUUUCAAUUGAGAGAUGGAAUAUUUCGAAGUUACGAUUUGUUAGAGAGGAAGAUCAGUUGUGAGAUUCUGAAAGAAUGCAUUGAUGUAUCUGAGUAUGAUGUCGUAAGUAGGACAUCAGUGGUUGUGGCAAGACAUCGUGAGGUUCUGUGAUGGUGUACCGAGGUAUCCUACUAGAAUGCCAUGAAAUUUCGGAUUAUUUUGAGUCUUGAGUUAUGAGAUGGCAAGUGGAGUAUCAAGUGACUAUGGUUCCAUCGGGAGCCCUUCAGCUAAUUGUCAUCAAACAGGAGUAUCCAAGAAUGUGAAUUGCAGCGGGAAAAAGUGUUGGUCGUGACGGUUGUCGUCAGGAGUGGUGAUGCUUAACCUGGGUAAGUGUGUGUACCUAUCUAUGUUGAGCCAUGGACUAUUCGAUAGUGAACUCAGUGGAGUGAUGACUUGAGGAGGAGAUUAUGGGGGAUAAGUGGGUGAGUAGAUCCGAGUGGGAGUAAUCACUUUGGAGUAUCAGGGGAAAACCACGGAGUGAGCCCAUGGCGAGUCAGUGAGAGAGAUUGUUGUGAUACUACGGGGAGCCGUAGUGUUCACCAGUAUAAGAGAGAGUGUUGUGAUACUACAAGGAGUCGUAGUGUUCACCAGUCUGUGAGAAAGUGUUGUGAUACUGUGGGGAGUAAUAGUGUUCACCAUUCUGUGAGAGAGUGCUGUGAUAUUCUGGGGAGCCAUAGUACUCAUGAGUCAGUGAGAGAGUGUCGUAGGCCUACGGGGAUUCAUAGCCUUCCCGGGUUAGUGAGAGGGAAUGUUAUGAUGCUAUGGGGAGCUGUAUUAUUCCCUAGUUAGAGCACGACACAAAAGAGUUUUUAGGCUUGGUAGCCUUAUUCAUUGAGUUUCAGGAUCCUAGUAGUCGGACCAGGGGCAAGACUAGGGUCUCCAUAUUUGUCGGAAUCAUUAUAUACUGAGUUAAGUUGUGGUAAUCGCAGUCGAGAGGAAUUGGAGAAGUGAUGUAUGUGUGGGUUGCGGGUCAAGGGUCAUGAGUUGAGUGCUUAAAUUAUGUGUAUAUCGAGUUGGAGUUUGACAUUGGUGGUGUAUUGGGUAGGCAAAUGAGAUUCCAGAUUUAGAGAUUGGUUUCAUUUUGAGGGGUAUUGUGUGCCAUCUGAUGUCGUAGACCUGAGUGGGUCAGUUCGUUUGUAUGGGAAGAACCACAAGAUGCAUGGAACUAAUGAGUAGUAGACAACAGGGUCGAGGGUGAGACGAUUUCAGUUGGGGAUUUAGUAUUCAUAUAGGGGUAAAGAGAACUUCGUGACUUAAGUAUCCACGUGAGUUUAAUGAAUGGACUCGACGAGUCAAAGAGCCGACUCGCCAAGUAGUUGUUGGGCAGAGAAACCCUAGAUUCUCGGGGUUGGCUCCUAUUUAAAGAACCUUAAGCCGCCUCACCAACCUCCUUGCUUCCAGAGAGAACCCCUAAUCGCUUAGAGGGAGCUAAAAGAGAGAAGAGACAUAAUUUGGGGCAUGUUGUGACCUUUUGGAGGAAGAAGUGGAGAGCAUCAAAGCUUGGAUCAAAAGAAGGCUUUUGGAUCCAAAGAUUCUUUAGAUUUUUGCUUCAGUUGGAGGUAAAAAGACGCUAACUUGACCAAUUACUUAUGAGAUCUUGAUUUAGGGAGUUUUGAGGGCUUUCUUCCACGCAUCUUGGGUCGUUGAGUUAAUUGGGCAUGGCUAGAGGUUGGAACCCCAAAUCUGGACUAUAGGUGGCCUUGUGAGUCCAAAGACCCGAGCUUUAAUGAGCUGGAGGCAAGCUAUUGUGCAUCUAGCCCUUGUUGGAGCAUGUAUUGGCAUUAUGAACCUUAUAUGCCAUGCAUGAAUGUAAAUCUUACAGCUUUACGUGUUAUUCGAGUCUUAGUAGGUUAGAUCUGGGGUGUGUGGUUGUAUAUCUUAUUAGAAUCGUCUGAAUGAAAAUUUAGUUUGCAUGGACUCGCCGAGUCGAUGAGCCGACUCGACGAGUUGGUUAGCGUUUGUCCCGAUGACCUUGAUCAAGCGAUAACUCGGCGAGUCAGGGGUCAACUCGACGAGCUAAGAUGGACCUUCAUGAGACUUUUGAGGAAAGGAGUGGACUCGACGAGUCACAUAGGUGCACUUGGCGAGUCCGGUCAAACAUGGACUGUUGACUCAAGUUGACUUCUAUUGAAUUUAGAGUUUGGUCAAACAUGAGUAAUGGAGACCAUGGAGGUGUAAAAUGCUCUUUUAUCCACUUCAAGAGUUAGAAAGAGGAAGAAUAACCUUUGGUUUACUUCAAGAGUUAGAAAAUUUCGUGCCUAACAUGUUGUGUGUUAUGUGUUUCAAGUUUUCUCAUGAUCGAGGGAAGGCACUGGCUUGAUUGUACACACCAGUGAAAGAGUUAUGUUUUGAGGAUCCUGGAUUUUAAAUCAAACAAUUAUGGAGUUGUGAUUGUAAUUUAAAUAAAUGAGAUUUUUGUGAAUUGUGUUAUGGGAAUUAAGCGAUUUUAAAUUAAAAUUUAUUUGAAAAUUUAGGGUGUUACAAAAGGAUUGGGAAUCAAGCUUACAAGCUAGAACUACCAGAAGAACUAGAUGGUAUCCAUAACACAUUCCACGUGUGUUAUUUGAGGAAGUUCACAGGUGAAGUUCCCGACGUAAUUCCAAUUUCAAAGUUGACCGUAAGACAAAUAAGAGGCUAAUCGAACAACCCGAGGCAAUUGUUGACCGUAAGACAAAGAAGUUGUGACGCAAGAUGGUCGACUUAGUGCUUGUGCGAUGGAAACAUUCGAAAGGGCCAAAUCUCACACGGGAAACGGAGAUGACAUGAUGAGUAGAUAUCCACAUUUGUUUGCUGAUGCAUGAUCAGGGACGGAAUCAUCAUAAGAGGGAGAGAACUGUAACGCCCAUGUUUCUAGGCUAAGAAUUAAUGACAAUGUAAUAGUCUAGGUCAACCAUUGUAACCCAUUUUAAAGUAAUAAAGAUGAAUUACUUGAAUAUUAUGUGAAUUGUGUGCUUUGUGUGCUUGUUACUUAUUUAUAAUAAUAUAAUAAAUAAAGGAUAAAAAUAAGCGUCAAAAAUAAAAUUUCAGAUAAACCUGAUAUUGAUGAAGAAUGUUGUAGUGGUCGUGACAAGGAUUUCGGACAUAUAAAGAGCGCCGAAAUCCGAGUUAUAACAAAGAAGUUAUUAUCUGUCGAAGUUUCUCGACAGAACUGGCACGACACUGUGUGACGUAGAUAGUGAAUUUACGUUAGAGGAAUUUUUAGCCUUAGUGAUCUAAACGAAAGUCGUAGUGUUCGUUAAACCGAGAGCAUGCAUAAAAAGAACGCCCAAAUCUGACUGCGUAUGAGGAAGUUAUGAUUUUUCUAAGUUUCGGCUUUGCAGUAUGCAACCUAGAGUUCGAAUAUUAGAUCGAGCGGUUUUAGCCGACAAAACCUAAAUGAGAACCAAAGGUCUCGUUAAUGGUAGCGCAAUGGUAAAAAUAUAGAUGAAAACGGACGUCGGAUGAAGAAGUUAUGAAUUUUUAACAAACUUUUUGUGUCCCGGCCUGUUAAAAAUUAUAACUUUAAAAACAAAUUCAAAAUUAGCUUACAAAGUCUAAAAGAAAGUUGUAGAGUAUGGUCCUGCCUAUGCGUGGAUAUAAAGAACGUCGAAAACCGAGCUCGUAUGUUAAAGUUACGGAUUUUAGAAGUCGAAGGUGCAAAUUAUGAAGUUGGAUGCGAGGCUAUUCCCCGCGUAGACUUCGGACGCCUCACAUACCAAGUACGCCCCACGUACACUGAAGGUACGCUCAGCGUUUGAUUUCUUUUGCGGUCUGGAGCCUGCGACGAUGAUCCAUGUGAAGACUGACACAUGCCCCUUACGUGCAGCGUGCCUGCGAUGGUACGCCCAACGUACUCCUAGGCCUCGACCUAUAAAAGGGUGCGAGGGCUGCUGAGAUUUUUGCUCAUUUCUUCAUAUCUUUCUUUCACUACUUUCUCUUUUUACGUGCUAUGUGUGUGUGUGUAUGUAUAUACAUAUAUAUAUAUAAAUAUACAUAUAUAUAUAUAUAAAUAUAUAUAUAUAUAUGUANNNNNNNNNNNNNAACUUGGGAUCUAUGCUAGAUGAAAGAUAUGAACCUCUUUCUUCUCAGAUCUGAACUUUUUCUUUUAGAUCUAAACUUUUCUUCAAGAUCCGAACCCUUUUCCUUCAGAACUAGACCUUCUCACUUCAGAUCUAAACUGUAUAUGUAGGUUUUAUACUUUGAGAUAUAUGUUGUAUGAAAGAUUUAAACUUUGUUUUCCAGAUCUGAACUGUAUAUGUAUUUUAUGUCUACAAAUAUGUUGGGUAAAACACUAGUAGAUGAAAUAGUUGGUGUGUGGUGAAAUAAAAUGAAGAGAGGCCUCGAUGUUGACGUUGAUCCAGUCAUCUAGCGGAGUAUGGAUGAUGACCACAGACUUUUCUAGGAAGUCUAGUGGAACGCUAGCAGGCUCGCAACCUGUAGGUGUUUGUGAAUGAUGUGUUCACCGGAGUACUCAAUCCCCCCCAUGAUUGCCUUACGGACACUUAUAGUUGAGGAAUCCCCUUCGCAGUAAUGUCCAUCACGAUGAAAUUCCUUGGGAUAGGUCCCUUAUGAUAGAUACUUUAGGGACGUAAGGUGAGGAUAACGGGAACAGGUAAUCAGGUUUAAUGACUGUUGAAAAUAAUAAACUUAUUUAUUUUGGGUUGAAAACCCUAUAUGCUCACCAGGCUCCCCAGCCUGACCCACUCAAUUUCUUGUAUUCUAGGUAGUGGCAAAAGAAUAGUUGGAUGACUUGGCGAAAGAUUAUGGAUUUUUGGCCAAUAGAAAAUAAAUGGAAUGUUGUAAGGCCUAUGUUGUUUUGAGGCUAGGUUUUGUUUUGUAGCCUAUCAUGUUUUUGGUUAAUGCUUAUGAUAUGUGUCGAUGUUGACAUCCCGAGUUUCUGUAAUGUAAUGAAAAUACAUUUCUUUAAGAAAUGCUUUGAUAAAUUUUUAUCAUAUUUGGUUUUGGGAACAAAUUCCGCAACACCUUUUAUUAAGAAGUUACUAUGAUUUUUAUUAAAAAACAUAAACGAAAUCGGUGUUUUUUAGCCGUAAAAAUAGGGAUGUCACAAACAUGUAUUAUUUCGAGUUGAUAGAGGGGGUUGUAGGAUUGUUGUCUACAUCAUCUAUAUUACAGGAGCUCCCGGGAGGAUCUUAAGGACCGUUUGGUGGCCUCUUAACCAUUCAUUUAAGUGGCUAUGAAUCAUUCAGAGUGUUUGGUAUGAAAAAAGUGCAUUUGAUAUUCUGAUUUGGUGUGUUGGAGGGUUGAAACCUCUGAACGAUCAUGCAAGAAGAGUUUAAACUGUUCAUACUUUGAGAUAUUCCACCCACUACCCUCUCAUGUGUUCCAUGAGCCAUCUACUUCCUUUUUCCCACACCAAAUAAUUCCACUUCGAUUCUACAUUGCCUUCGUGACAUCCACCUUCAUUAGCUAAAUGAAUUUUGAAUACAAUCGAACCCCCAAAAUAGAGAAGUUCCUACUUGUUGCUCGAUGAAAAUCCUAAAAAAAUUAACUUCAUGAUGCAGAUGCCACAUUUUAUUUUACAUUUCAAAAACAUAUCUUGUGCAGAUCGCAAACCUAAGACAAUCUUUACAACAGACACCAUGUAUUCACCAGCCCUUCAAUGGCUCUCAAAGAUACGAACCUGUUUUAAUCACCAACAUUGUUCCAGGAGGACCAUAAAGCCUACUCACAAACAUGUCUCUUUACUUUUAAAUUCCGAUGUCAAAGACCUAUGUGUCUUGUCGUGAGCCUUAAGGAUGCAUAUAUGGUCCAUACACUUGUCACAUCGUGAGACACUUUCUCUUACAUUGUGACUAGCUAUAAAAUGAGGUUAUCAUUCAUUAAUAAUUUCAAAUAAUUGCAAGAUGACCGCUGCCUCAUCUAAGCAUCAAGGUUUAAGCAUAUUCUUCAACGUUCAAGCCUCCCAAGAGGACUCAAGAGACAAUAAAAGGUUGUUAUCCUCUUCUUACCUUUAUGGUUGUGUUUAAAUCUUUCCGUUACUUGCAAUAAGAUCCUUGGCGGGUUUUAACAUGCUUAUUAAGCUUAAAAUCUUAAGAAUUCCGUUUUGCAUAUUUAUGAGUUUUUUAAACUAAUUUUGAAGUAAAACCCAAUAGUUAGAUCUAUCUUAUGGUCCAUUUUUAUGCUUUUGGUCCCUUUUUGGUGGUUUACUAGGAGUUGAGAUGACCCCAUCCCCUUCUAAGCACCAAGGUUUAUCUUCUGGUCCUUUUCUUUUUGGAAAGUUGGUAACUUAAUCUUAUCCCUGGAUCCAUAUAUGUUUUGUGAGGGAUUUAUACCAUUUUGGACCUAGGGUUACAGAUCAAUUUUUGGGAUGAGGUCCUAAUGGAUAAAGUUGGAAACAUUAUACAUUAAGUCAUAGAGAAGGAUUAGAUCUGAUGUUUUGGGCUUAGAUCCGUAAGUAUUAAGCUCUAAAUGAAUAAAAUAGAGUUUUUCAACAACCACGAUGCGAUUAAGGACGACCCUCGACGUGGUUGAAUGUUGAAAUUCCCACGAAGUGGCCAAGGAGGGCCUACGACAUGGCAAUAUCCUACAUUUCGUCUAAUUUGUCUUAUCAUGCAAAUGACAUUGCGAAAAGCUUUCUACUUUUUGGUGGUUGUUGACUUGGUUGAUCGUUGAUUUUCAUUGGCCAUUGACCAUUGAGUUUUGACCAAUUUGAUGUGGGUCAUACAUGGAGGAUUUGGGUUGUUGAUUGAGGAUUCAUCCCUUUUGGUGUUAUUUGGUUCGCGAGAUUAAGCAGUGCAAGGUGUUAGAGUGUUGUUGUGCUUCUCUAGUUCUUCAGUUCAGGUGAGCUUCUCAGUAUGCCAUGUAUGCCAUUAUAUAUCCUUUGCAUGGUAAGACAACGAUAUUGUUAGGGUACGAGUAUGCUAGUUGACUAAGUGGAAUCCUUGUUAUACUUGUGCGGUAUAGGACACUUGGUUUCAUGGUAUGCUAGACUGAUAAAGUCUUGUCAGGAUUAUACGAUACUGCUAGGUAUCAUGAUUUGUUAGGGUAACGAUAGCUUUUAUUGUUUUUUGAAUGUUUACCCUAAGGAUUGUAUUUAGUAAAUUUGGAUAGCCUGAGAACUCGUGGUUUAAUCCCCGACUACAUAGUUCUUUGUGACAACCCGAAAUUUCCAUUCUGUGCAAACUAUAGCACUUCAAUAGAAGUUAU
rnacentral:lncRNA from 1 species